UGAAAUCAACUGAGAUC
rnacentral:rRNA from 3 species